UACAGAGGUCCCGAGCGUUGUUCGGAUUCACUGGGCGUAAAGGGGGCGUAGGUGGCAUGGCAAGUUUGAUGUGAAAGCUCAGGGCUUAACCCUGAAAUGGCAUUGAAUACUGCUGUGCUGGAGGUUUGGAGGGGGGACUGGAAUUCUUGGUGUAGCAGUGAAAUGCGUAGAUAUCAAGAGGAACACCAGUGGCGAAGGCGAGUCCCUGGAAAAUACCUGACACUGAGGCACGAAAGCUAGGGGAGCAAACAGG
rnacentral:rRNA from 1 species